rnacentral:rRNA from 1 species
UACGUAGGGGGCAAGCGUUGUCCGGAUUCAUUGGGCGUAAAGAGCGUGUAGGCGGCCAGGUAGGUCGGUUGUGAAAACUGGAGGCUCAACCUUCAGAGGUCGACCGAAACCAUCUGGCUAGAGUCCGGGAGAGGAGGAGUGGAAUUCCUGGUGUAGCGGUGAAAUGCGCAGAUAUCAGGAAGAACACCCGUGGCGAAAGCGGCGUUCUGGACUGCAACUGACACUGAAAAACGAAAGCCAGGGGAGCAAACGGG